rfam:Candida arabinofermentans NRRL YB-2248 unplaced genomic scaffold CANARscaffold_5, whole genome shotgun sequence.
GAACAGGUUCUUUUAAGAACCACUUUAAAAAUGACAAUUUCAAAAUUU